rnacentral:rRNA from 1 species
CGGGGGGGGGGCAAGCGUUGUUCGGAAUUACUGGGCGUAAAGGGCGCGUAGGCUGUCCCGCAAGUCCUCCGUGAAAUCCCACAGCUCAACUGUGGAAUUGCGAGGGAAACUGCAGGACUUGAGUUCGGGAGAGGAGAGUGGAAUUCCCAGUGUAGCGGUGAAAUGCGUAGAUAUUGGGAGGAACACCGGUGGCGAAGGCGGCUCUCUGGACCGACACUGACGCUGAGGCGCGAAAGCUAGGGGAGCAAACGGGAUUAGAUACCCCGGUAGUCCUAGCCCUAAACGAUGAGCACUUGGUGUGGCGGGUAUCGACCCCUGCCGUGCCGAAGCUAACGCAUUAAGUGCUCCGCCUGGGGAGUACGGUCGCAAAGGCUG